GUUUUAAAUUAUAACCUGGUCUCUCUCCCUUAGCCAUACAAAAAGGAGAGUUCUGUAGAAGGAGCAGAAUGGACUCUGAACUACAUGGAAUUCUGAACUGAAGGCAAAGCAGCAUUACUUUUCAGAUCUGUUUUACUUCAAAGAUUCUGUUGCAAGCAGAUGGUCUCUGUAAACUUUUAAAAAAUUACUGAUAUUUCAUCUUCAGUACACAGUGGUUAGUAGGGACAGAAAUAACAAGUGAUCACAGGUAAUAACUGGUGUAUUCAUCUGUAGUCCACAGAACUGAAAAACUAACAAGGGGUUAAGAC
rnacentral:lncRNA from 1 species